UACAGAGGGUGCGAGCGUUGUUCGGAAUUAUUGGGCGUAAAGGGCGCGUAGGCGGUGCGGUAAGUCACCUGUGAAAUCUCCUGGCUCAACUGGGAGCUUGCAGGCGAAACUGCCGUGCUGGAGUGUGGGAGAGGUGAGUGGAAUUCCCGGUGUGGCGGUGAAAUGCGUAGAUAUCGGGAGGAACACCUGUGGCGAAAGCGGCUCACUGGACCACAACUGACGCUGAGGCGCGAAAGCUAGGGGAGCAAACAGG
rnacentral:rRNA from 1 species